GGGAGGACAAGAACAUAAGAGACUAGAUACUUAAACAAUAAUGAAGCAAAUAAGAUGAUUCUUCCAAGACAAAACUUAACCUUAGAGUAUUUAUAUGACAAUCUGUGGAGGUACUUACAGAAUCAGCCCUCCAGACUUACAGAAGCUGGGCUUCCCAAAUGAAACUACUACUUUCCAAUGCCUGGACUCAUAAUCCUUGCAAGG
rnacentral:lncRNA from 10 species